rnacentral:lncRNA from 1 species
UUACGUUGUGCAAAAACACAAUUCUGUUUCCUUCUUGGAGUCUCGCGGGAAUACUUCGAUCCUCGUUUACAAGCCAAGAACUUGUUAGUGGAGGUAAGAAUGAAAAAAGAAGAGAACGAAAGAAAAGAAUGAAAAAAAAAAAGAAUGAAAAAAGAAAAGAAUGAAAAAAAAAAGAAUGAAAAAAGAAAAGAAUGAGAAAUAUAGAGAAAGAUGAAAAAAAGGAGAUUGAUCAUACAUUGCAUACAUAACAUAUUGCAUACCUCAUGCAUAUCUUUACAAAUUGUACAACUGACCCAUUCUCCCCACAGACAUUUC